rnacentral:rRNA from 1 species
CAGUCGCCGCGGGAAUACCAGCAGCCCAAGUGGUGGUCGCGAUUAUUGGGCCUAAAGCGCUCGUAGCCGGGCCGGUAAGUCCCUUGUGAAAUCGGACGGCCUAACCGUUCGGCGUGCAAGGGAUACUGUCGGUCUUGAGGCCGGGAGACGUCCGAGGUACUCCGGGGGUAGCGGUGAAAUGUUCUGAUCCUCGGGGGACCACCGGUGGCGAAGGCGACUAUCUGGGCCAACACUGACACUGAGACACGAAAGCGUGGGGAGCAAACAGGAUUAGAUACCCGGGUAGUCCCUGUCUCUUAUA